rnacentral:tRNA from 1 species
ACCUGGCUGGCUCAGUCUGAAGAGCAUGCGGUUCUGGACCUCGGGGUCGUGAGUUCAAGCCCCACGUUGGGUG